rnacentral:rRNA from 1 species
CCUACGGGCGGCAGCAGUGGGGAAUAUUGGACAAUGGCGGGAACCCUGAUCCAGCGAUGCCGCGUGAGUGUAGAAGUAUUUCGGUCGGUAAAGCUCUAUCAGCAGGGAAGAAAGAAAUGACGGUACCUGACUAAGAAGCGCCGGCUAACUACGUGCCAGAAGCCGCGGUAAUACGUAGGGGGCAGGCGUAAUCCGGAUUUACUGGGUGUAAGGGGUACGUAGACGGCGAGGCAAGUCUGAAGUGAAAGGCGGGGGCCCAACCCCUGGACUGCUUUGGAAACUGUAUGGCUGGAGUGCAGGUGAGGUAAGUGGAAUUCCUAGUGUAGCGGUGAAAUGCGUAGAUAUUA